UACGAAGGGGGCUAGCGUUGCUCGGAAUCAUUGGGCGUAAAGCGCACGUAGGCGGCUUUUUAAGUCAGGGGUGAAAUCCUGGAGCUCAACUCCAGAACUGCCUUUGAUACUGAGAAGCUUGAGUCCGGGAGAGGUGAGUGGAACUGCGAGUGUAGAGGUUAAAUUCGUAGAUAUUCGCAAGAACACCAGUGGCGAAGGCGGCUCACUGGCCCGAUACUGACGCUGAGGCGCGAAAGCGUGGGGAGCAAACAGG
rnacentral:rRNA from 1 species